rnacentral:rRNA from 1 species
CAAUAGCGUAUAUUAAAGUUGUUGCAGUUAAAAAGCUCGUAGUUGGAUUUGUGGCGUACGGUGUGUUCCGGGCACUUGUUGUCUGAGUAACCUGCUGUUGCCAUCCUUGGGUGGAACCUGUGUGGCAUUAGGUUGUCGUGCAGGGGAUGCCCAUCAUUUACUGUGAAAAAAUUAGAGUGUUCAAAGCAGGCUUAUGCCGUUGAAUAUAUUAGCAUGGAAUAAUGAGAUAGGACUUUUUUGCUAUUUUGUUGGUUUGCGCAAAGAGGUAAUGAUUAAUAGGGACAGUUGGGUGUAUUCGUAUUCCAUUGUCAGAGGUGAAAUUCUUGGAUUUUUGGAAGACGAACUACUGCGAAAGCAUUUACCAAGGAUGUUUUCAUUAA